AUUUAUUUCAAUUUCCUAAUACUAUUAGGAGUGGGGGAUAAUAUGCCUAUAAAUAUAGGAGGUAUCGUACAAUUUUCAUAUGAACAAUCAUCAUCAUCAAUUAUUGUUCAAUCAAUAUAAGCAAGUUAUUCCUACAUAUUUCUUAUUUCAAUUCUUAUUAUAAGAAUUUUAUCUGCGCUUCCGCAUCAUUACUAAUAACUAAGGACAUAGGUUCCGAUUUGAUGUUUGAUAUUAGACUGUGGCACUCAUUUGUCAAACCAACCCAUGUCGUGUCUAUAUAUGGCAUCCAUAGCAUUCUUCUUCUUUUUCAACAUGUCAUACAUAAAUUGAUUUACCUUGAAGAUCUAUAUAGAUAUCCUUUGGGAGAAAGGGAAAACGUUUUUGCUCACACACUCAGACUAAAUGUUGAACAUUUUGGAAUCAUUGAUAUGCUAAACUUUGGAAGGGUUUGCUUGAGGGAUGAUGGAGCUUUCAAAAUUGAGUUCAAGAAAAUGAAUGUGUCAGUCAUACAGUGUACAAGUCAAUGAUAUAAAUGUAGGGGACAGUUAAUCAAAAUCUAGAGUGUUUCUUUGAAUUGGAAAAAAUUAGAUCCUGCAAUUCUGUGCUAGUAAAUUUUGUUAACCAAGUUCAACCUUUUCAGCUAUUCAAGAAACUAAUGUAUGCACAACUUCAUUCUCCAUUGCUGUCAGCAAGGAAUCACACAAGCUCUUUCUUUAUGUACAAGGAAGUGCAUGCUUGCCCUGCUAUUUAUGCUUUUAUGAUCCCUUUCAUUACAUAAAAAACACAAUUAUCUGCUGAAACUCCAUUAUGGUAGCAACAAUAAACUGCUCAUUAUUCUAAAUAAACUUGAAACUGGUUACCAAUGGCAGAUCUAAGAUCUCGAGUGAGCAUAGCGGCUAUUGAUCGUUGACCGUCAAUUUACCGCAAUAAAAAUCAAAUAUAUCUAUUACUUUGCUAAUUGAACAUAUGUAUUUUUGUUACAUUUGGUGUUAACAUCCACCAAAUGCCGUAAUGGUCAAGGUUUCCAUAUUUUCUAAGGGGAGCACAGGUUCAAAUCUUUCACAUUGCACUAAUUUUAAUAACUAUGCUUUUAAAUGAUGAAAAAUAUCGAACUAAAAUAAUUGCAUAGAUUGCUUUCAUAGAGAGUUGAACUCAAGCCUUCACUUUCUAAAUGGGUGCCUAACCAACUGAGCUACAAGAAUUGCUUGAAAAAAAAACAAAAUUAUAUAUAUAUAUAUAUAUAUAAUACAUAAAUUGAUACCAAAAGAAAUUUUAUAUCGGCGGAUCCAACUAGGAUGGUCGUCGGUGUUGGUUACAUGAGUCAUUUUUUCCUUCUCUAUUCGACCAAAACUAUCAAUUGAUAUGACUGAUUGAAUCAAACCUUAUGGCAUAAACCAAACUAGUUAUAUGAGAAGUAGGGCUUACAAGUUCAAUACGUGUAUAUAAUACAUAAACUUGUAAAUAUAACCUUAUUUAUUUUGUAAACUAAGCACUAUAUCAAUUUUUCAUGCAUUCAUUAAACAUUUUUUACUCGUUAAGAUCCCAUUAAAACAAUUUGUCAAAUAUGAGUACCCACCAUGCGAAAACACUUCUAGACUAUAAGAGGGGUUAAUCCAAACUAAUUUGUUUUUCAUCGUUAUGAAAUCGUCCAUAAUCUUCAAUUUUGAAAUCCAGAUGCUUCUAGUGUAGUAAAGUUUGACCAUUUCCCUAGAUUAGUUUACCUUUUUUUUAUCUUCAAUAAAGUUUGACCAUUUCCC
rnacentral:lncRNA from 1 species